CAAUAGCGUAUACUAAUGUUGUUGCAGUUAAAAAGCUCGUAGUUGAACUUCUGGUAGGAGUGUCCCGGCCUUUUUGUUUUUACAAAUUGUAUGCUGUGUGACAUCUCUGGCCAUCCUUCUUCUUUGUUUAAAGAAGAUCUUUCACUGUAAAAAAAUUAGGGUGUUCAAAGCAAAAGUUUCUUUGGAAUAUAUUAGUAUGGGAUGAUAAGAUAGGCUCUAGAUGCUAUUUUGUUGGUUUGCACAUUUAGAGAAUGAUUAACAGGGACAGUUGGGGGUAUUCGUAUUUACAUGUCAGAGGUGAAAUUCUUGGAUUUUGGAAAGACGAACUACUGCGAAAGCAUUUACCAAGGAUGUUUUCAUUGA
rnacentral:rRNA from 1 species